rnacentral:rRNA from 1 species
GACGAACGCUGGCGGCGUGCUUAACACAUGCAAGUCGAACGGAAAGGCCCCUUCGGGGGUACUCGAGUGGCGAACAGGUGAGUAACACGUGAGUAACCUGCCCUUGACUUCGGGAUAACUUCAGGAAACUGGGGCUAAUACCGGAUAGGAAUCCUUGCUGCAUGGUGGGGGUUGGAAAGCUUCGGCGGUUUUGGAUGGACUCGCGGCUUAUCAGCUUGUUGGUGGGGUAGUGGCUUACCAAGGCUUUGACGGGUAGCCGGCCUGAGAGGGCGACCGGCCACAUUGGGACUGAGAUACGGCCCAGACGCCUACGGGAGGCAGCAGUGGGGAAUAUUGCACAAUGGGCGGAAGCCUGAUGCAGCAACGCCGCGUGCGGGAUGACGGCCUUCGGGUUGUAAACCGCUUUCAGCAGGGGCGAAGCUUGUGGUGACGGUACCUGCAGAAGAAGCACCGGCUAACUACGUG